GGUGAACGCUGGCGGCAGGCCUAACACAUGCAAGUCGAACGAACCCUUCGGGGUUAGUGGCGGACGGGUGAGUAACACGUGGGAACGUGCCUUUAGGUUCGGAAUAACUCAGGGAAACUUGUGCUAAUACGGAAUGUGCCCUUCGGGGGAAAGUUUUAUCGCCUUUAGAGCGGCCCGCGUCUGAUUAGCUAGUUGGUGAGGUAAUGGCUCACCAAGGCUACGAUCAGUAGCUGGUCUGAGAGGAUGACCAGCCACAUUGGGACUGAGACACGGCCCAAACUCCUACGGGAGGCAGCAGUGGGGAAUCUUGCGCAAUGGGCGAAAGCCUGACGCAGCCAUGCCGCGUGGAUGAUGAAGGUCUUAGGAUUGUAAAAUCCUUUCACCGGUGAAGAUAAUGACUGUAGCCGGAGAAGAAGCCCCGGCUAACUUCGUGCCAGCCGCCGCAGUAACAC
rnacentral:rRNA from 1 species